rnacentral:rRNA from 1 species
GAGGACGUGAAACCGAUAAGAAGGAAACGGAUAGAGCCAACGUAUCUAGCUUGUAUUCAGCUGCUGUCUUGUGCCAAGCAUGCGGUCUUAUUCCCGUCUCUGGAUGGGCCGUGUGUUGCCUCCGGCUAUGGACGGUAGUGCAUUUGCAAGUGGAGUGCGCUGAGACUUGUGGCUGCAGCGGUUGUAUCUCGGUGUUGAGGCCAUGACAUUUCGGUGUUGUGGUACCCGCACAGAGGGAAGGCUGUUUGUGCUGCAUGUGCAGAGCGUGAUUGAGGUCGGCGGGUGUUGAGUUUGCCAUUGGUGGCGGUCGCAUGCGACACGUGCCUCUGUGUUGAUUCGGUACUCGUUGGUCUUUUGCGUUCGAUCUCGGUGUAAAAGUUGGUCAUCUAUCCGACCCGUCUUGAAACACGGACCAAGGAGUUUAGCGUGUGCGCGAGUCAUUGAGUGUCUGA